ensembl:lncRNA
CAGUGAAAGUUUGGCCGUACGAUUUAGUCGGCCAGCCAGGAGUGGUGUGAAAACAGCCAAGCUGCUGAAAUACUCAUUCGGGCCACAUUUGCUCGAAGGGAUGAAGCUGCUGCUGCCAGUAACAUUUCCCGGGCUGCUUCUCUCCACCACAGGGCCAAGACGGGGACUUCCAGUCGCAGCCUCAGCAAAAAGAAGCCCCCUGUGGAAUCCAGGAGGAACAAGGAAAGAAAAACCCAGCAGGAGUGUCAGCAGACCUCGGCCUCUGACCCCACGGACGUCCAGGAAGAGGAGUCUAGGCGCAGACCCCGUGCUGCAGAGCCAGCUGUCCCACCACCGCGGGAAGACAGCCUGCCUCCCCCUGGAGAGACAGCAGCCGGUGGCUUCUUCGGCUUUGUGCGCGCCCUCUUCCCGUUCCGGUACUUCUUCAGGAAGAGCAGCGGGGAGCCUGCCCAGAGCGAGGGCACCUGGAGCCCCGCGGCCGCGCCUCCUCCGGCCCCGUCCUCGCCUUAGGACGCCUCGGCCACGAGCACCGAGGCCCCAUGAGGGGUCCUCCCGUGGGUUUGUCCGGUUCUUUGCCACCUUAUAAUUGAAUGUUUUUGUUCCAAUUUAAAAUUAAAUUUUUUAAAAAGAAUGCAACUUCCUAACAUCUUGGGAAUUUCGCUGCCCCGGGGCCAGUUUAGUGUUGUGUCUUCAGCACUUAGGAGCCUACUGAUGAUAAGUUGUUUACGGAGAGUUACUGAUGGAAUAAGUGGAAGUGGAGAGAACCAGCUGUUCCUCCAGGUCCGAGAAACAGCACCUGAGCUUCGACCCCCGCCGGCACUGCCGGGCCGAGGAGAAGGGGCCUUGAGACUCCCUUCUGAGCCCUACUGACCCCCAAAGAAGUGAUCUCCCCCCCAAACUCACCCAGUUUGGCAGCAAAGUGUAGCUUCUCCAAGGUAACGCGCCUGUCGCCUGCUGUCCCUCAGGCUUUGACGGGAAAGCCCGUCACUCUGUCGGGUCGGCGCUGGGGUCAGCAGACGAGGACCCCGGAGAAGACCAGGGCACCGGAGCUCCACCUGCAGCCAAGGCACUGGGCUGGGACAGUUUAGAUGUGCAUGGGACCAAAUGACCAGUGAGAUGUGGAGGUCGCGUCCACUCGGAGCGAGGGAAGCGUUUUCCACCCUUGUUACACAUUAACGUCAGCCAUCUCAAAACACACCGAACGCCGGAGUAAGGGAAAGGGCUUAUUGGGGAACACCCCACAGUCUGGAGUGAAGGGGCGGCGAAGGGGAAAGAGAAAGAGUAUAAGAGAGAAACAGAGAGGAGAGGAGCUAGCGAGGAGAGAAGAGGGAGGAGAGAGCAGAGAGAGCCAAGAGACCAGAGGAGGCGACUAGAGAGGAACCGAGAGAGCGCAGGAGAGAAGCCACGAGAGCAGAGCCAGAGAGCGCGUGCAGGAACAGGCCCUGUAACACUUUGUCUGAGGGGCAGGGAAGCAGGAGCAGUAGGAUGGGGGUGGAGCCUGGCACAGGUAGCUGGCCCUGCGGCCACCUGGCUACAACUGCGCCAGUUUCCUAACAACCCUAAUAGACGUCCGGUGCUGGAACAGG